GUGAAUUGCCUCCUUGAGCGUUAUACUAUAUCCAUCUACACCUGUGAACUGUUGACCUUCGGGGCAUUACUUUUACAAACAUGGUGUAAUGAACGUCAUUAUAUAUAACAAAAAG
rnacentral:misc_RNA from 1 species